UUUAUUGUCGAAAGAUACGUGUUGAAAUAAAAUGUAUCGUUGUUUUUAAUAAAAAAUUCUGUUUUCUUGCUUUCAAGAUAAUAUAGUUUAAAUUAUUUAUGAAUAUUUGUUUAUGUGUUUUCAUUCGUCGUAUUUAUGUGUUGAACUCACAGUGAAAAUUAGUGAAAAUUAGUGAAAAAUGACAGAAAAAAGUGAUAAUAAAGACUAAUAAUGAAAGGUGACAGUGAUAGGUGACAGUGAAGUUUCUUGAGAGUUUUUUCAGAGUUUCUAUUAUUUAUGAGAACAGUAGGGAUCGGUGGAUUGGCCCAGUGACAGAGAUGCAUUUUCAUCGUGAUUAUUUGCGGUUCAAUGGGAAAUCUAAAAUAACCUGAUCUUUCUUACAAUGCUUAAUAAACAACGUUGACCUCAAGUGUAAUAUCAUCUGGUCCGGUUCAGUAUCGCGAGGUGACUCAGCUAGUACAUUUAUGGAAUGUAAACAAUAAAAAUCUGAAGAAUUGUACGAGGUAGUUUUCUAAAUUAAUUAGGAAAAUAUCACGUUGACCGAUACCUGACUUCAUAAUUAUGAUUUCGACUGGUCGAUAGUUGCUAACAGAAUUCUGACGAAGUAUGUCUAAAAAAAGACAUUCACCCAUAAAAAAAUUGUGUCGCGGUGAUUAACAUUCUACUGGAAAUGGAUAAGCUUAGUUAAAAUUAAAUAUUUGAUUAGUUUGAAAAAAGUUGAGGAAAAAGGAGAAGAACUGCCCUUGUCAAACGCUCGUUCUUAGGAUAAGUCUGACCUGAUCCUUAUCCACCUAAUAAUUCUACAGUAAUAAAACAUAAAGCACACUGGAUCUUGAAAAACAUGCUAAAUGGAAGAAAUUUUUAGGUACAAAUUGCAUGCAGUAAACAGCUGCAAAGGGCAGCUAUUGAUAUAAGUUUACAUAUAAGUGUUAAAAAUAGACACGAUCGUUUUAUUAUUUUAAUGCGCUGCAUGUAUAUGUAUAUGAAUAGAUUUAAAAUGAAAUGCUUGACACUA